CUGGCUCUAGUCUUUCUGUAACGUCAGCCAGGUUUGUCUAUGGGCGUUACGAUGGCGACAGUGCGUGGAGGUGUAGCGGUACAGAGAGGUAAGGAGGAAAAAACGAAAGUGCAAAAAAACGGAAAAACCCUGCGUCCUUAAGGGGUUAAAAGGUAUUAGACUCACUCAACGGACUCAACGGAUUCUGACGUGUUUGCGAUUUUAUUCAGAGAGGUAACCCUGCCUUACAGAGGAAGAAGAAGCUGGGUUAUUGCUGUGGCGGCCCUCCCGGGACUGUAGGCCGUGACUGUAGCUACAUGUACUUCACUUGUGGCUUUGCUGUGGAGAUGCCAGUUUUGCAUGACUGAAGCAACAACAAGCACGUCAUCUAGUGCAAUAUACAGUGAUCGUACUGUAAUGCUGCAUUGAUAUGCAGAAAUGUGCUUGUACAGCAAAUUUUAUAUAUUUUUGCCUAGUGUAAAAAUAAAAAUAUAAAGUUUUAAAAUGUUCAAAA